GUGCUCACUUCGGCAGCACAUAUACUAAAAUUGGAGCAAUACAAAAAAGAUUAGCAUGGCCCCUGCACAAGGAUGACCUGCAAAUUCAUAAAAUAUUUCAUAUUUUA